rnacentral:rRNA from 1 species
GAUGAACGCUGGCGGCGUGCCUAAUACAUGCAAGUCGAGCGAACAGAUGAGGAGCUUGCUCUUCUGACGUUAGCGGCGGACGGGUGAGUAACACGUGGAUAACCUACCUAUAAGACUGGGAUAACUUCGGGAAACCGGAGCUAAUACCGGAUAAUAUAUCGAACCGCAUGGUUCAAUAGUGAAAGACGGCUUUGCUGUCACUUAUAGAUGGAUCCGCGCCGCAUUAGCUAGUUGGUAAGGUAACGGCUUACCAAGGCAACGAUGCGUAGCCGACCUGAGAGGGUGAUCAGCCACACUGGAACUGAGACACGGUCCAGACUCCUACGGGAGGCAGCAGUAGGGAAUCUUCCGCAAUGGGCGAAAGCCUGACGGAGCAACGCCGCGUGAGUGAUGAAGGUCUUCGGAUCGUAAAACUCUGUUGUUAGGGAAGAACAAAUGUGUAAGUAACUAUGCACGUCUUGACGGUACCUAAUCAGAAAGCCACGGCUAACUACGUG